rnacentral:rRNA from 1 species
GAUCGCGGGGCGGUCAGGAUCCUUCUAGGACCGCGCCUCGCGGGGCCUGCUCGGCGUUCCGGGUGCACUUUCUCCGGGUGGAGUGCCACGACCGGUUCUGCGUGCAGUCAGAUGCCCGUCGGGAAGGUGACCGUCUCUCGGGACGGAGUUACAGCCCGGCGGUGCGGACUUGCCGCGGGACCGAGGACGCUUGCCGCGUCUCAGGACCCCCGGUCCAGCUCGCUCGCUCGACUGUGGCGAACUGCUUGCAGUGCGUCGCGACCGCUGGCGAGCGUCAGGCCGGGUAAGUCCGAGGCGCCUUGGGUCAGUGGCGAAUCGGUCGGUCCUCCACCCGACCCGUCUUGAAACACGGACCAAGGAGUCUAACAUGUGCGCGAGUCAUGGGGUGCAACGAAACCCAAAGGCGCAAUGAAAGUGAAGGCAGUCUCCGACUGGCCUAGGCAGGAUCCCGCCGUUCGCGGUGGGCGCACUGCCGGCCCGUCUCGACAGCGUCGUCUGCGAGGCGGAGCAAGAGCGUACACGUUGGGACCCGAAAGAUGGUGAACUAUGCCUGAGUAGGGCAAAGUCAGAGGAAACUCUGAUGGAGGUCCGCAGCGAUUCUGACGUGCAAAUCGAUCGUCAGACUUGGGUAUAGGGGCGAAAGACUA